CGUUACCCCCGCCUUCUUCUCCAGAAGAACUCCGCAGCCCUAGCCCAAACUCUGCCAUUCUCCAUAGCCCGGAGUUACAAGCACACUGAGAAAAACCAGCACGAGCGUGAGAGGAAGAGAAAGAGAGAGAGCAAGUGACAAAGUAACUAAUAAAACCCGAAAAAAUAUAUAAAGUGAGGCUUCGCGCCUCGAGAGAGAAUACACGAAUACGUUCAAGUUUAGUUUAGAAAGUGUGGUGGAAAACUUUUCUGGGCUGUGGCAGAAAGCUGUGGACCGCGGAAGAUGCCAGAGCAAAGGUGUUGAACUUUCCAGAAUAUAAAAGAAGACGGGAGAGAGUUUGAGCAUUAGCCUUGGCAAUUCAGAAAGAACAAGGGCUGACACGGUCCACACUAGGGGACAGGUGAAGAAGUAACACAUUUAGAGAUGGCUGACGAGCAGGACACAAGGGAAGUGCUUUUCCCACAGUGGAUGGGCACUGAUACGCUAGAG